AGUCUGGUGCCAGCAGCCGCGGUAAUUCCAGCUCCAAUAGCGUAUAUUAAAGUUGCUGCAGUUAAAAAGCUCGUAGUUGGAUCUGGGGCUUGAGGUCGCUGUCUAUCGUUUCGGCGAUGACGGUGAUGCUCAGCUCUGCUUGCCGGUGACUGUUGCGGUGUUCUUCACUGAGCGCUGUAGCAGCACGGCACGUUUACUUUGAAAAAAUUAGAGUGCUCAAAGCGUGCUUGUCGCUUGAAUAAUGUUGCAUGGAAUAAUGGAAUAGGACCUCGGUUCUAUUUUGUUGGUUUUCGGAGCUUGAGGUAAUGAUUAAGAGGGACGAACGGGGGCAUUCGUAUUGCGGUGUUAGAGGUGAAAUUCUUGGAUCGCCGCAAGACGGACUACUGCGAAAGCAUUUGCCAAGAACGCUUUCAUUAAUUAAGAACGAAAGUCAGAGGUUCGAAGACGAUCAGACACCGUCCUAGUUCUGACCAUAAACGAUGCCGACCAGCGAUCCGUAGUGGUUGCUUUAUGGACCCUACGGGCAGCCUCCGGGAAACCAAAGUAUUUGGGUUCCGGGGGAAGUAUGGUUGCAAAGCUGAAACUUAAAGGAAUUGACGGAAGGGCACACCAGGAGUGGAGCCUGCGGCUUAAUUUGACCCAACACGGGAAAACUCACCCGGUCCGGACACCGUAAGGAUUGACAGACUGAUAGCUCUUUCUUGAUUCGGUGGAUGGUGGUGCAUGGCCGUUCUUAGUUGGUGGAGUGAUUUGUCUGGUUAAUUCCGGUAACGAACGAGACUCUAGCCUGCUAAGUAGUGUUGCUAUUGUUAUAUGGUUGACACUUCUUAGAGGGACAAGUGGCAUUUAGCCACGCGAAAUUGAGCAAUAACAGGUCUGUGAUGCCCUUAGAUGUCCGGGGCCGCACGCGCGCUACACUGGAGAAGUCAGCGUGUGUUAUCCAAGUCCGAAAGGACUGGGUAAUCCGUUGAACCUUCUUCGUGCUUGGGACUGUGGCUUGGAACUAUUCCACAUGAACGAGGAAUUCCUAGUAAUUGCAAGUCAUAAGCUUGCGUUGAUUACGUCCCUGCCCUUUGUACACACCGCCCGUCGCUACUACCGAUUGAAUGGUUUAGCAAGGUCCUCGGAUCGUGGCCGUAGGGGCACGCAAGUGUUUCUGCGGUUUGCGAGAAGACGACCAAACUUGAUCAUUUAGA
rnacentral:rRNA from 1 species